CCUACGGGUGGCAGCAGUGGGGAAUAUUGCACAAUGGGCGAAAGCCUGAUGCAGCAACGCCGCGUGAGCGAUGACGGCCUUCGGGUUGUAAAGCUCUGUCCUCAAGGAAGAUAAUGACGGUACUUGAGGAGGAAGCCCCGGCUAACUACGUGCCAGCAGCCCCGGUAAUACGUAGGGGGCUAGCGUUAUCCGGAAUUACUGGGCGUAAAGGGUGCGUAGGUGGUUUCUUAAGUCAGAGGUGAAAGGCUAAGGCUCAACCGUAGUAAGCCAUUGAAACUGGGGAACUAGAGUGCAGUAGAGGAGAGUGGAAUUCCUAGUGUAGCGGUGAAAUGCGUAGAUAUUAGGAGGAACACCAGUUGCGAAGGCGGCUAUCUGGACUGUAACUGACACUGAGGCACGAAAGCGUGGGGAGCAAACAGGAUUAGAUACCCUGGUAGUC
rnacentral:rRNA from 1 species